rnacentral:misc_RNA from 1 species
AACGCACCUUGCGCCCUCUGGUAUUCCGGAGGGCACGCCUGUUUGAUGGCGCGAAACAAAAGCCUUUUGUUAAUUUAUGAAGCAUAAAGCAGAUUAAACUUUCAAAUGGCGUUCGUGGAUGCUGGUUGUAUGAUUUUUUGUACUUCCCUUCCCGGUAGCUUGCCUACCUGGUCAUCCGAAAUACAGUCGACAAAUGCAUGUUUUCCUGUAGCUUAUAGUUUCAUGACUAUACGCUCAACUGCAAGUUCCAUAAUUACCUUAAUAGGUUCUAUUGCUGUUAGCUCAGUUGGGGGUGUUGUGAAUCUUUGAGUGUCGGGAUACAUGAGGCUGUUGAUAAUACGGGUUGUGGGGACCCCUCUCAAAUUUCGUCAUCAAAUCAGGUGGGAUUACCCGCUGAACUUAA